AUAUCGGUGAGGGUUGCUGCUGGCCUUUCGAGGCAUGUGCACGCCCGAGCCUUUAAAUCCACAUACACUGUGAACCAAUGUAAGGGCCCGUAACAAGGCCCCUACGUCUUUAUCAUCAACCCAUUGCAUGUCUCAUAGAAUGUCAUUCAAUAUCUUCGCCUUUAACAAAGCGUCGGUAAACUUAUACAACUUUCAACAACGGAUCUCUUGGCUCUCGCAUCGAUGAAGAACGCAGCGAAAUGCGAUAAGUAAUGUGAAUUGCAGAUUUUCAGUGAAUCAUCGAAUCUUUGAACGCACCUUGCACCCCUUGGUAUUCCGAGGGGCAUGCCUGUUUGAGUGUCAUUAAAUCCUCAACUCCCAUUUGAUUUGUUUCAAACAUGGAGCUUGGACUUGGAGUGUGCUGGCGUUAACCGUCGGCUCCUCUCAAAUGCAUCGGCGGAAUUGAACCUUUUGACCUCCGGAAUGUCAGUGUGAUAAUUAACGUUGCGCUGUCGACCGGGGGUUGGAGUCCGCUUACAAUCGUCCUCGGACAACUUAUCAAAUUUGACCUCAAAUCAGGUAGGACUACCCGCUGAACUUAAGCAUAUCAAUAAGCGGAGGAAAAGAAACUAACAAGGAUUCCCCUAGUAACUGCGAGUGAAGCGGGAAAAGCUCAAAUUUAAAAUCUGGCGGUCUCAUGGCUGUCCGAGUUGUAAUCUGGAGAAGCGUUUAUCCGCGUCGGACCGUGUACAAGUCUUCUGGAAGGGAGCGUCAUAGAGGGUGAGAAUCCCGUCUCUGACACGGACAGCCGAUGCUUUUGUGAUGCGCUCUCGAAGAGUCGAGUUGUUUGGGAAUGCAGCUCAAAAUGGGUGGUAAAUUCCAUCUAAAGCUAAAUAUUGGCGAGAGACCGAUAGCGAACAAGUACCGUGAGGGAAAGAUGAAAAG
rnacentral:rRNA from 1 species